AAUACACCCCCUUCUUAGGCCCUCAUCCAACGUCUCAUAUUAAAUUUCGACUCCUUUAAAUUUUCAUGCAAUUGCAUUUUUAAAGAUAAGUUUCCAAAGAUAAGACGCCAUUAAAUCCAAUUUUAUAUCAAUUUCCAAAAAUAGAGUUCUUAUUUAUGGUUAUGCGCCUUCUCCUCCUUCGAUCUACAUACAUAUGAUACGUUACGCACAUCAGAGAAAAUUUCCAAAUAUAAUCUGAUUUUUAACCUAAUUUCCAUAGUAGAGAGUUCUUAACCUAAUUUCCAUCAAUUAUUCAUACGUUACGGAAAGAAAAAUCCCCAUUAACAGCUCCAUUAUUCUGCUAAUCGAACUCUGUUCAAAUACAUAAACCUCAUGAGAUGUUAUCUCCCAAAGGUUCACAAUUGCUUCUUCACCAUAAUCUUCAAGAUUAAUCGGGAAAUACUCGACUCUAUAUUCCAUAAGUUUGAUUAUGGGCAUUUUUAAUUUGUUAUUUUUUCUGAAAUGUUCCUUUGAUUUAGUUGUUUGAAUCGAUUGGUGUUUUUUUUUUUCUCGGUUGAAUCGAUUGGGUUUGCCAAUCAAUCUGUGGAGAUGCUCAACUUCAUAAACCUCAAAGACCAAACGUUCUCAUUUUGUCUCUUCACCUUACUAUGUGCGUUUUUUAUUUGUUAGUUUUUCUUAAAUUUGAUUUUAUUUCUCAAUCUUUUGAUGUAUUGAUGCAGAUUUUUGGAUAUUGAGAAAACAGCUACCAUCCAUCUCAGUUCCAAGACUACCAGCUUCCAUCAAAAGAACAAAGGGCAUUAGUUAAUUAGAGAAAGGUAAUUUGUCUUUUGGUUGUAUCCCCUUCUUCGGUGUCCGAUUCAAACAUCUAGGAAGGAAAAAUAUGAAGUUGGAGAGCGAUAUUACAAAUAUAUUCAGUUUCAAGUGAAAAAACUGUAUAUUAAGCAUCAUCCGGUUUGCUUGUUAGGUUUUGUAAGUAAAAGUCUGGAUUAAGUUAUAGAGCUGGGUGCUGACAUAUAUUUGGGUGAUUGUUGGAGAAUAGAUGCGACAUACUCUUGAUUUGUACCAUCCAGUUUCGUUGGUGCAAUGGUUGUUAUCCUCUCAAAUCGCUCAUUGUCCCCAAGGAUCCAGUCCGUUGAUGAUCCUUUUAUGUAUUGCUACUGAAAACCUGUAAUUCAUUGCAGUUAUUUGUUGUGGGGCCUGAUUUUUGAUUCUACCUUCUUGAAUCUUGAUUUUCUUAUAUGUGAAUUUCAUUACACGUCGCUUUAAAGGAAGGAAAAAGUGUGGUGGAGAGAUAAGGACGGGAUCUAAUGUUUACAGAAAGUGACUGGUGCUGUUAAUCUUUGAAGUUGACUGGUGCUGUUAAUUUUUGACAAUUUGUCGUCAUUCAUGUGAACCUUAGGUUCUUUUAAUUCUUGAAGUUUGAUUUAGGAAAAAUAUAGAGAACAGAAAGUGUUUUAAAAAUCUGAAUCUGGGGAGUAAUGUUUCAUUUGUGUGACCUUGAAGAUGGAUGGACUUGGUGGCGUUUGUUAGCUGUGGGAAGAUAAAGAUUAAGGUUCAAUUAUUUGGAAAUGUUGUUUCCGGUUGAACUUAUUUUUGUGUAUCUAUGAUUGAAAUGGAAAAUGCGAAAUUUUGUAAUA